GAUGAACGCUGGCGGCGUGCCUAAUACAUGCAAGUCGAGCGAACAGACGAGGAGCUUGCUCCUCUGACGUUAGCGGCGGACGGGUGAGUAACACGUGGAUAACCUACCUAUAAGACUGGGAUAACUUCGGGAAACCGGAGCUAAUACCGGAUAAUAUAUUGAACCGCAUGGUUCAAUAGUGAAAGACGGUUUUGCUGUCACUUAUAGAUGGAUCCGCGCCGCAUUAGCUAGUUGGUAAGGUAACGGCUUACCAAGGCAACGAUGCGUAGCCGACCUGAGAGGGUGAUCGGCCAAACGGGAACUGAGACACGGUACAGACACCUACGGGAGGCAGCAGUAGGGAAUCUUCCGAAAUGGGCGAAAGCUUGACGGAGAAAAGACGCGUGAGUGAUGAAGGUCUUCGGAUCGUAAAACUCUGUUAGUAGGGAAGAACAAAUGUGUAAGUAACUAUGCACGUAUUGACGGUAACUAAUCAGAAAGCCACGGCUAACUACGUG
rnacentral:rRNA from 1 species